rnacentral:rRNA from 1 species
CGUAGGGUGCAAGCGUUGUUCGGAAUUAUUGGGCGUAAAGAGCUCGUAGGCGGUUUGUCGCGUCUGCUGUGAAAACUGGAGGCUCAACCUCCAGCCUGCAGUGGGUACGGGCAGACUAGAGUGCGGUAGGGGAGAUUGGAAUUCCUGGUGUAGCGGUGGAAUGCGCAGAUAUCAGGAGGAACACCGAUGGCGAAGGCAGAUCUCUGGGCCGUAACUGACGCUGAGGAGCGAAAGCAUGGGGAGCGAACAGGAUUAGAUACCCUGGUAGUCCAUGCCGUAAACGUUGGGAACUAGAUGUAGGGACCAUUCCACGGUUUCUGUGUCGCAGCUAACGCAUUAAGUUCCCCGCCUGGGGAGUACGGCCGCAAGGCUA